UACAGAGGUGGCAAGCGUUGUUCGGAAUUACUGGGCGUAAAGGACGCGUAGGCGGUCUUAUAAGUCUCGUGUGAAAUCCCUCGGCUUAACUGAGGAACUGCACGGGAUACUGCAAGACUUGAGUUCGGGAGAGGGAAGCGGAAUUCCGGGUGUAGCGGUGAAAUGCGUAGAUAUCCGGAGGAACACCGGUGGCGAAGGCGGCUUCCUGGACCGACACUGACGCUGAGGCGCGAAAGCUAGGGGAGCAAACGGG
rnacentral:rRNA from 1 species